rnacentral:rRNA from 1 species
ACCUGCCCUAUGAUUCUAUUAAAUGGCCGCGGUAUCUUGACCGUGCAAAGGUAGCAUAAUCAUUAGUUUUUUAAUUGAAAGCUUGUAUGAAAGGUUUGAUGGGAAAAUAACUGUCUCUAUUUAAAUAUAUUAAAAUUUUAUUUUUAAGUAAGAAAGCUUAAAUUAUAAUAAAAGACGAGAAGACCCUAUAGAGUUUUAAUUUGGUUGGGGUGAUUGAAAAAUUUAAUAAACUUUUUUUAUAAUAGAACAUUAAUUUAUGAUUAUAUGAUCCUUGUUUAGAGAUUAUAAGAGCAAAUUACCUUAGGGAUAACAGCGUAAUUUUUUUAGAGAGUUCAAAUCGAAAAAAGAGAUUGCGACCUCGAUGUUGGAUUAAAAUAAAAUUUUGGUGUAGAAGCUGA